GCAUAAUUGUGUAAAUUGUGAAUUAUGAUUAAUGCCAAUGGCAUGUCAAGUAUGAAUAGCAUGUGAAAUUGUGUUUGGGACUUAUGAUCCCAUAAUGAUUGAGAUUAUGACGGAAUUAUGAAAGAAUGGCGCCUAAAUGAUGAAAUAAUGAGAACUUGAAUUGCUAAUGAUAAUAAAUUAGCCCGAGUAUGCCUAGACAGCAGUGCAUGGGUUAGAUAGAUUGGCAUGCCAAAAAGUGAUGAGAUUAUCAAUACUGCAUAUGGCAGGCAUCGAGUAUCCGAUAU
rnacentral:misc_RNA from 1 species